rnacentral:rRNA from 1 species
GCAUAUCAAUAAGCGGAGAAAAAAGAAACCAACAGGGAUUGCCUUAGUAACUGCGAGUGAAGCGGCAAAAGCUCAAAUUUGAAAUCUGGCGUCUUCGGCGUCCGAAUUGUAAUUUGGAGGGGCAUCUUCGGAGAUUGGCGCCGUCCUAAGUUCCUUGGAACAGGACGUCAUAGAGGGUGAGAAUCCCGUGCCUGGGCGGCUGUCCGUCUCCAUGUGAAGUGUCUCCGACGAGUCGAGUUGUUUGGGAAUGCAGCUCAAAAUGGGUGGUAAAUUUCAUCUAAAGCUAAAUAUUGGCGAGAGACCGAUAGCGCACAAGUAGAGUGAUCGAAAGAUGAAAAGCACUUUGAAAAGAGAGUUAAAAAGUACGUGAAAUUGUUGAAAGGGAAGCGCUUGAGAUCAGACUCGACCUUAGGUGAUCAGCUGGGCUUCGGCUCGGUGCACUUGCCUUUGGUUGGGCCAGCAUCGGUUCUGACGGCGGGAUAAAAGGCGGAGGAAUGUGGCUCCCCUCGGGGAGUGUUAUAGCCUCUGUCACAAUGCCGCCAGUUGGGACCGAGGACCGCGCUUCGGCUAGGAUGCUGGCGUAAUGGUCUUAAGCGACCCGUCUUGAAACACGGACCAAGGAGUCUAACAUCUAUGCGAGUGUUCGGGUGGAAAACCCUUGCGCGUAAUGAAAGUGAACGGAGGUGGGAACCCCUCGGGGUGCACCAUCGACCGAUCCUGAUGUCUUCGGAAGGAUUUGAGUAAGAGCAUAGCUGUUGGGACCCGAAAGAUGGUGAACUAUGCCUGAAUAGGGUGAAGCCAGAGGAAACUCUGGUGGAGGCUCGCAGCGGUUCUGACGUGCAAAUCGAUCGUCAAAUUUGGGUAUAGGGGCGAAAGACUAAUCGAAUCAUCUAGUAGCUGGUUCUGCGAG